rnacentral:rRNA from 1 species
AUGUUUAUAAUAUUAUGCUGUUGGAGGGGAAAUGACUAUUACAUUGUGGGAGCAGGAAAUAAAAUAAUAAGGAGAAAGCACAAGAAUAUAAGAUUGAAUGGUAUGAGUACCUCUGACGAACUUGGGGAAGAAUAUCAUGAUCAAGAAAUUCCUUUUGUAAGAUUAGAAGAAAUUGCCCUUGCAACUCAUGAUUUCUCUGAAACAUGUAUUAUUGGAAAGGGAGGCUUCGGGAAAGUUUAUAAGGGAAUUUUAGGUGGUCAAGAAGUUGCAGUCAAGAGGCUAAGCAAAGAUUCUCAUCAAGAACACACGAAUUCAAGAACGAAGUAA